rnacentral:rRNA from 1 species
UCGGGAAUAUUGCGCAAUGGAGGAAACUCUGACGCAGUGACGCCGCGUAUAGGAAGAAGGUUUUCGGAUUGUAAACUAUUGUCGUUAGGGAAGAAAAAGACAGUACCUAAGGAGGAAGCUCCGGCUAACUAUGUGCCAGCAGCCGCGGUAAUACAUAGGGAGCAAGCGUUAUCCGGAAUUAUUGGGUGUAAAGGGUGCGUAGACGGGAAGACAAGUUAGUUGUGAAAUCCCUCGGCUUAACUGAGGAACUGCAACUAAAACUAUCAUUCUUGAGUGCAGGAGAGGAAAGUGGAAUUCCUAGUGUAGCGGUGAAAUGCGUAGAUAUUAGGAGGAACACCAGUGGCGAAGGCGACUUUCUGGACUGUAACUGACGUUGAGGCACGAAAGUGUGGGGAGCAAACAGG